AUGUUGAAACUGAAGCUACUUGGUCUAUGCUCCUUGGAACGAACAAUUGCGCGACAAAGAUCAAGAAUUCUCUCACUCCGGGAGGGGGAUGCAAACACUAGCUUCUUCCACCAACACGCUUGUCACCGGCAAAGGCGCAACAUGAUCACAACGAUCAGAAAUGGGGACACCACCGCAAGCACGCAUGAUGAGAUCGCAAAUGAAGUGGAUGACUAUUACACAAAUGUGUUUGCUGGCACACUGGGCAGAGCACACACCAUAGACCUCAGCCUUCUUGAUCUACCGACCAUGGAUUUGACGCAUCUUGAUCAGCCUUUCACCGAGGAGGAAGUGGAGAAGUUUGUGAAGACCAUGCCCAUGGAUAAGGCACCGGGUCCGGAUGGCUUCACGGGACGGUUCUUUGCAUUCUGCUGGCCUAUAAUCAAGGACGACCUCAUGAGGGCACUGCACACUUUCCACCAUGGCGAUAUGAGGGGCCUGCACGCCAUCAACAAGGCAAUUGUGGCACUACUUCCUAAGAAGGAUGGAGCAGUGGACAUACGCGACUUUCGGCCAGUGAGUCUGGUCCAUGGCGCGAUAAAGAUCUUUGACAAGACACUAGCUUCAAGGCUUGCAGUGGAUCUUCCGUUACUAGUGGGAAAACACCAGAGCGCUUUCGUGCGAGGGCGAUCCAUUCACGACAACUUCAUGCUCGUCCAAUGCACGGCACGUAAGCUUCACGCCCUACGACACCCAGCCAUUAUGCUCAAGCUUGACAUAUCAAAGGCUUUCGACUCAGUGCAAUGGCCCUUCCUCCUAGAAGUGCUACGCAAGGCUGGAUUUCGGGACCGUUGGAUCACGUGGAUUUGUGGAAUGCUGGCAAGUGCAUCAACAAGGAUCAUGGUCAACAGUACACCGGGACAGCCAAUCUACAACACCGUGGGCUUGAGGCAAGGUGCCCCACUAUCCCCAAUGCUGUUCAUUCUUGUCAUGGAACCCUUGCACCGCAUGUUCGAGCUUGCGACUGCAAAGGGACUGCUUGAGCCGCUUGCAAGAACAGGGCUACAUCACUGUCUCUCAAUGUUUGCCGACGACGUAAUGAUCUUUCUCAAGCCCAAUGAGCAGGAUAUGAACAUGUGUGCAUCAAUUCUUACCCUGUUUGGGGAGGCAUCGGGCCUCCGCGUCAACCUUGCCAAGAGCGCGGCCUACCCUAUACGAUGCUCUGAUGAGAUCAUGGAAUCAGUGGAGAGAGCACUUGGAUGCCCGAGAGGCGCCUUCCCAUGCAAAUACCUUGGUCUGCCGCUCACCCUGAGAAAACAGUCACAUGUACAGCUAUCAGGCCUUGUGGACCAACUAGCAACGGCAUUGCCAAAAUGGAAAGCAGCAAGG
rnacentral:rRNA from 1 species